UUCCGGUUGAUCCUGCCGGACCCGACUGCUAUCAGAGUGGGACUAAGCCAUGCGAGUCAACAUAGCAAUAUGUGGCAUACGGCUCAGUAACACGUAGUCAACAUGCCCAGGGGACGUGGAUAACCUCGGGAAACUGAGGAUAAACCGCGAUAGGUCAUCACUUCUGGAAUGGGUAAUGACUUAAAUCUAUAUGGCCCCUGGAUUGGACUGCGGCCGAUCAGGCUGUUGGUGAGGUAAUGGCCCACCAAACCUGUAACCGGUACGGGCUCUGAGAGGAGGAGCCCGGAGAUGGGCACUGAGACAAGGGCCCAGGCCCUAUGGGGCGCAGCAGGCGCGAAACCUCUGCAAUAGGCGAAAGCUUGACAGGGUUACUCUGAGUGAUUUCCGUUAAGGAGAUCUUUUGGCACCUCUAAAAAUGGUGCAGAAUAAGGGGUGGGCAAGUCUGGUGUCAGCCGCCGCGGUAAUACCAGCACCCCGAGUGGUCGGGACGUUUAUUGGGCCUAAAGCAUCCGUAGCCGGUUCUACAAGUCUUCCGUUAAAUCCACCUGCUUAACAGAUGGGCUGCGGAAGAUACUAUAGAGCUAGGAGGCGGGAGAGGCAAGCGGUACUCGAUGGGUAGGGGUAAAAUCCUUUGAUCCAUUGAAGACCACCAGUGGCGAAGGCGGCUUGCCAGAACGCGCUCGACGGUGAGGGAUGAAAGCUGGGGGAGCAAACCGGAUUAGAUACCCGGGUAGUCCCAGCUGUAAACGAUGCAGACUCGGUGAUGAGUUGGCUUAUUGCUAACUCAGUGCCGCAGGGAAGCCGUUAAGUUUGCCGCCUGGGGAGUACGGUCGCAAGACUGAAACUUAAAGGGAAUUGGCGGGGGGAGCA
rnacentral:rRNA from 1 species